UUUUCGUGUAAGAUUUAAGGACCACUAUAGGAACCCAGACCACUUCAGCUUAAGUGGUCUGGGUUCCUAUAGUGGUCCUUUAAUCUUACACGAAAGA